AAUACAGAGGUUAAAAAGCCUGGGCUGUAAGGUUGCACGGGACGGUACUUGCCUGCCUGUGGGAUGUAAUACAACUUGUAGCCGGAGUAUCCACAUCGGGGCUGUGCUGCUGCCUACACUUAGUAAUAAAUUAUUGCUGUGACUCUAAACACUCUGCAAUGUAUCGGCGAUUCAUCUUUCAGUCGCCUGUUCCCACGCUGUCCGUUUUAUCUCGAUGGUUAAUUUAAUCCUGGCAGUAAUUGCUUCGCUUCUCUUAAAUCUCCCCGUCCCGCCAGCCAAGCGCGGGCCCUUGUGCGGGUGUUGUGGGGGUCGGGGCGGCUGGCCACCGGGCUGGUGAUGCUCGGACAGCCGAGACCGCUCCGUGCAGCCCGGGCCCUGGGGCUCCGCAGCCGGCAGUGACCGGGGGAGCGGCGGCCGCGGGGGGGCGGGGGGAGGAGGAGGAGAAGGCGGCGAAUCCUCGUCCGGCUGGCCGGGUGUGCGAGCACUAGUGGGAGCUGGAGAGGGCGAAAGGAGGGGAGAAAGCCCCAAACCACCCCGAGCCCGAGCAGAGCGGCUGCGAGCCGGGCGGCAAGGGGGGUGUGCGCCAGAGGCGGGCGGGGGGCGAGCGCGGCGGCAGCGCUGGGAGCGGCGGCAGCCCCGGCGGAGGAGACGGCAGCAGCCCCGGCGGAGGAGGCAGCCCCGCGGAGCCUUGGCAGGCGGUGAGCACGGGUGGAGUUCAUUUCUUUUGUUCCUGAGAGCUGAAUAGGAGAAAGGGACAUUUCAGCUUUUCUUGAUAAAGAUUAUAUCAUCUUACUUACACUGUGAGAGAAGAAUAAUUAUUGAAAAUUAAGAGCUCUACAGGUAAGAACUGAGUUAACUAAUUUUCUUUUUAUUAAGAAG
rnacentral:lncRNA from 1 species